CAUCUCACUGAAUGAAAAAGAGGAGACUCUCACCACUAGCGUCUGGAUUGGAAUCGAUUGGCAGGAUUACCGACUCAACUACAGCAAGGACGACUUUGGGGGUAUAGAAACCCUGCGAGUCCCUUCAGAACUCGUGUGGCUGCCAGAGAUUGUGCUGGAAAACAAUAUUGAUGGCCAGUUCGGAGUGGCCUACGACGCCAACGUGCUCGUCUACGAGGGCGGCUCCGUGACGUGGCUGCCUCCGGCCAUCUACCGCAGCGUCUGCGCAGUGGAGCUCUCAGACGUACAAUGCCGAAGAGGUGGAGUUCACUUUUGCCGUAGACAACGACGGCAAGACCAUCAACAAGAUCGACAUCGACACAGAGGCCUAUACUGAGAACGGCGAGUGGGCCAUCGACUUCUGCCCGGGGGUGAUCCGCCGCCACCACGGUGGCGCCACCGACGGCCCAGGGGAGACUGACGUCAUCUACUCGCUCAUCAUCCGCCGGAAGCCGCUCUUCUACGUCAUUAACAUCAUCGUGCCCUGUGUGCUCAUCUCGGGCCUGGUGCUGCUCGCC
rnacentral:lncRNA from 1 species